rnacentral:rRNA from 1 species
UACGUAGGGACUGAGCGUUGUCCGGAAUCAUUGGGCGUAAAGAGCGUGUAGGCGGCCUUUUAAGUCCUGCGUGAAAUCCUGCGGCUCAACCGCAGACGGUCGUGGGAAACUGGAAGGCUAGAGUGCGGGAGAGGAGAGUGGAAUUCCCGGUGUAGCGGUGAAAUGCGCAGAUAUCGGGAAGAACACCCGUGGCGAAGGCGGCUCUCUGGAACGCAACUGACGCUGAGACGCGAAAGCGUGGGAGCAAACAGG